UAUAUCCAUGUUGUAGGCAUGGAUUACCAUGAAAAUUGUCCCUCUAGCGAGGAAGAUGCUAAUGAUCAUGACAAAGGUUACGAAGGUGAAAGAGUACUGCAUGUGGUAACCGAUGAGGCUGUAUCUCAGACACGAUCCUGCUUAACAAAUCUUGAAUGCAAAGAUGGCGAUCAAGCACAUACAUACGACAUUGAUCCUGCAAGCCAUUCAGAAUAACUAGCGAGACGCAUCUUCCAGAAGAAAUAACACCGGAAGAUGAGAAGAUUUUUCCAUCAGCUGAUAAAUUGGUUGAAAAAGAAGAGGCAAGUGUAGAAAGACCAAGAGGGAAACCUCAAAAUAUGCUAAUGUUAAAAUCAGUCCUGGGUGGCACUGCUGCGGUUGGCAUGUUGGUCAUGUUCUUGCACUUCAGGAGGAGCGGCAGAGAAAAAGAUCCAGCAUCAAUUAAGACAUCAUCUGGUGAUUCUGUGAAAGACAAAGCUACGAAAUAUCCAUCACAGAAGGCAAAGAGGAGGAGUAGAACAGAAGGGGUUUACCCGGCUGAAAAGCUCAAGCUGGGUGAUUAGAAUGUGGAUCACUUCUGAGUUGAACGUUGCCAGUUCAAUUUUGAGAAUUUCAGGAAGUAAUUUUUUUUUAAGAACAAUAAUAAAGAAAAAUCCUGUUAAAA